rnacentral:tRNA from 1 species
GCGUGCGUAGCUCAAUGGUGGAGCGCCUGACCGUGACUCAGGAGGUUUUGGGUUCAAGUCCCAUCGCACGCC